rnacentral:lncRNA from 1 species
UUGUUACUUGUUAGUUUGAAUGUUGUUCAUGAAUCAAAAAUAGCCGUACGAAACCCUAAUCCCAAAUGUUGUUCUGUACAUGAAAUUCGCAUGUUCUUCGCAGUGCCCAUGGGGCUUUCUAUUUCAUUGUAUCCCAAAGAUUCUGGUUGUGACUUUCCAUUCAAUUUGAGAACAAAUUAAGGAUUCUAAAAUUUCAUAAUAUGGUUUUAUUGAUUCUAAAAUUUUGCUCCAGUUCCAAGUUUUUUCUAUCAAUCUUUGACUUUGUUUAUGAUGUUUUUGCAGAUUUCUCAUGUCUGGACAGGGAAUGGUACUGAAAUUGAAAUUCGCUAUGAUGCACCCCUCGGUCUUCGAGUGUUAGACAAGUGGCUAAUGUUGUUUAGGCAAUGGCCAGCUUCAUUGUUCUGAAUAUCAAUACCUCCACAGGUGAGUUUAAUUUAGCUAAAGCUGCAUGCAAAUUCAUUUUUCUGGUGUUGAAUUGGAUUUAUCUUUUAUAUAAGUACUAAUUUAAGCUAAAUGUUGUAGUUUUCUGGUGUUGAAUUGGACUCACUGUAGAUUUUGUAGCUUCAAGUUAUAUACUUAUUGCUUCUAUCAUUUAGAAGAACAUAUGUUUGCUUCAUUUUACAUUUUAUUAGUCAUACAAUGAGCCUAAGUUUGCAUAUAAAGAAAAUCUAGUUUUUGCUCAGCUCUUUAUUAAGUUUAACUAAAUCUAGUUGUCCAAUGAGAGUACCCAUGGCUAGAUGGAGAUAGUCACAUAAUGCAGUUUCUUUACACAAACGCCACAAAGUAUAUUGUUCACUGCUAUACAUUGAGUAAAACCUAUUUCGUAUAAAUUGAAGCCUUUUAAACCACAUAUAGACUAUUCCGUGUCUAACAAUGACAAAGAAAUUUCAUUGGUAGAAUGUCGCUUACUAUUUGCUGAUGGAGAGCUUAAGUGACGAGGAUAA